GCGCUCGUAGCUCAGUAGGAUAGAGCGUUGGUUUCCUAAACCAAAGGUCACAGGUUCGAAUCCUGUCGGGCGUA
rnacentral:tRNA from 2 species